AAGCUGAGCUCAUGCUGUCCUGUCUCUGUAUCUACAUAUGUGUUUGUGUGUGUGUGUGCUUGCAUAUACCUAGUUUACUUGUGCUCAUACAUAUACAUGUGAAUGUUCCAGAUUGCGUUUAUUAUAUAUUUCCAUAUCUUUUUCCAGAUCUCCCAGCAGAUACACUGACCAUGAAAGUUCUGAAGAGGACUGCUUUAGUUCAAGGGCUAAGACAAAAGCUUCCAGCAGUAUCAGGGAUGUGGAGGUAAAAUCCAAAGACCAGAUUGCAAGACCAGUUCCACCUAGGCCAUCUGUACCGAGCUGUAUUGUGUCACAGCCACAGCUACCACCACCUGAGAGUCUGGAUGUAAAUGCCCGAGAUGCAAGAAUCUUUAUGGUGUUGGAAGAACUACGUGCUAUACUGCAUUCCCACUCCACCAAGCUGAAUACUCUCCUCAGACACCACAGUGUGCAAGAACAAGAUCAAGCAGUACCAGAGGGCAUUCACUUCCCUGUGAAGGAUAUGAAUGAAAUGGAAGCCCUAGAAAGCAAACUGAUGGAUCCUGACCUAGAGAAGAAAGUUAUUGCAAGUCUGUAUGUAAUAGGUGGAUCAGGUCUUCCAGACACAGUGAGGC